rnacentral:rRNA from 1 species
CACGGGUGAGUAACGCGUAUGCAACUUGCCUAUCAGAGGGGGAUAACCCGGCGAAAGUCGGACUAAUACCGCAUGAAGCAGGGAUCCCGCAUGGGAAUAUUUGCUAAAGAUUCAUCGCUGAUAGAUAGGCAUGCGUUCCAUUAGGCAGUUGGCGGGGUAACGGCCCACCAAACCGACGAUGGAUAGGGGUUCUGAGAGGAAGGUCCCCCACAUUGGUACUGAGACACGGACCAA